rnacentral:rRNA from 1 species
CACGUAGGGCGCAAGCGUUGUCCGGAAUUAUUGGGCGUAAAGAGCUCGUAGGCGGUCUGUUGCGUCCGCUGUGAAAACUCGGGGCUUAACCCCGAGCCUGCAGUGGAUACGGGCAGACUAGAGGUAGGUAGGGGAGAAUGGAAUUCCCGGUGUAGCGGUGAAAUGCGCAGAUAUCGGGAGGAACACCGGUGGCGAAGGCGGUUCUCUGGGCCUUACCUGACGCUGAGGAGCGAAAGUGUGGGGGAGCGAACAGG